CGCGUAUUGCACAACAUCUUUUGACUCUCAAAUCGAUGACGACCUGUUUUAGAAGCAUUUUAACUGCUUCCCAUAGCGAACGUUGAAGCUCAGGAACCGUUGCUGUGAAUACAAACAUGUGUAUUUUACUGCUUCAGUUCGACUUUUAGACAAAGAAAUAUCCCAGAAAAAAAGCGAGAUUAAACCCACCAUUUGGUUAGGAAUAUGACUAUGCUAAAGUCAGGAAUGUGUCAGUUGUUUUUCUGCCGUUUUUUUAAUCAAUGUUUUUU
rnacentral:lncRNA from 1 species